CGCCUCUUGAAUUAAUAUAAGAGGUCCAGCCUGCCCAGUGACCCUGUUCAACGGCCGCGGUAUCCUAACCGUGCGAAGGUAGCGUAAUCACUUGUUCUUUAAAUGAGGACUAGUAUGAACGGCAUCACGAAGGUUAUACUGUCUCCUUUUUCUAAUCAGUGAACCUAAUCUUCCCGUGAAGAAGCGGGAAUAUAACUAUAAGACGAGAAGACCCUAUGGAGCUUAAAACAACACAGCACUUGCUAAAAAACUAAGCAUUCCCGAAUUUUUACUCUCUAGGCAACAUGACUGUAAGUUUUUGGUUGGGGUGACCACGGAGUACAAUAUAACCUCCAUGUUGAAAGAAUUUUUUUCUAAGCCGAAAAUUACACUUUUAAGCAUCAAUAAGUUGACAUCUAUUGACCCAAUAUAUUUGAACAACGAACCAAGUUACCCUAGGGAUAACAGCGCAAUCCACUUCAAGAGCUCCUAUCGACAAGUGGGUUUACGACCUCGAUGUUGGAUCAGGGUUUCCCAGUGGUGCAGCCGCUACUAAAGGUUCGUUUGUUCAACGAUUAAAACCCU
rnacentral:rRNA from 1 species